CCUACUUAAUAAUUAAAAAUUACACUAGGUAAAUUUUAUACAUAGGUACUAAAUUAUAUUAAAGUAUAAUAUAUUUUAUAUUCUAUUGUUAAUUAAAUAUUUUAUACUUUUAUUCGAUAUGGAAGAAAUAUUAGAAUUGGUCUGCUUAGAUGAAAUGACAACUGACGAUGUUGAACACAUUUUAUUAAAUGAGCUACUAUUUUUCGAAGUGAAAUACAUUUUAGAUCUACAUCGUAUGGUCAUUUUAAUUUGGAUAAAAUAAGUAAUGAAUCAUGUAGACAACUUUUCAGGUUUGAGAAACGAGAUUUGGAACGGCUUAGAUUAAAUUUAGGCAUUCCUGAUGUAAUAGAAACUGCACAAAGGUAUCGUGUUACGGGUGUAGUAGGGUUAUGUAUUUAUCUUCGUCGUCUCACUUAUCCAAACAGGUUAAGUGACUUAGAGAGGACAUUUGGAUUAAGUUCUUCCUAUAUAAGUAGUGUUAGCAACCAUGUAAUGUCUAUCAUAGAAACAAACAAAGGACAUAUUUUACACAAUUUGAAUAAUAUACCUUGGCUGAAUGAAACAAAAUUAAAGUAUUAUGCAAAAGCAAUAUCAAACAAAGGAGCACCAAUUCAAAACUACUGGGCUUUUAUAGAUGGUACUGCCAGACCUAUAUGUAGACCAACAGUUAAUCAGCAAAACUAUUUUUCUGGACAUAAACGACACCAUUGCUUAAAAUACUAAAGUGUAUUAACUCCAGAUGGCAUAAUUAUUAACCUUCGAGGACCAUACCCAGGAAGAAGGCAUGAUGCGGGUAUGCUAAGAGAUACAAACUUGUACACAGAACUCAUGGAGAUUGCAGUGCAUGGUAGUACCACAUAUGUUAUUUAUGGAGAUCCAGCAUAUCCCAUGUCAGAGCUUAUACUUAAACCAUAUUGUAGUAGAAUAUUAACUCCAGAACAAGUUGCAUUUAAUAGAGCGAUGUCCUCAAAAAAACCAAAAACUCCUUCUACAACAUGUAGGCCAAAUGUAUAAAGUUGGUGUAAUUUUAACUAACUGCCAUACAUGCUUAUAUGGAAGUCAAACAGGAACUUAUUUUAAUAUAGUUCCACCCACAUUAGAACAAUACUUAAAUAUUUAAGAAUAAAAAAACUUUAUUAUAGUAAUAACAAUGUCAAAAAAUACUAACAAAUGGUAUAUAAAAUAAGUGACAACAUUAUAGUUAAAGAGAAAUAAAAGCAUAUAACAUGAUUGAUAUAACAAACUUUAUAUAGUUAAAAACAUAUUAAUAAAUUUAUAAAUCAAUAAAAAAAAAGAAAACUAUUCAAAUAAAAAUAACAUUAA